rnacentral:lncRNA from 1 species
CGACCCCCACCCCCUCUCUCUUUAGCAUGUAUCCCUGAAUGUCUUACUUCUCUGGUGAGAUCUUUUCUCUCCAUUUCCUCAAGGCUGGCUUGCUGGUGCCAGGCCCCAGGCUGGACUGUGCUUGUAGACCAGUAGGGAGGAGGCCAGUGUGAGCUGGUUGGGGCCAGGAUCUGCUUCCCCUGCAACCUGGUUGCAAUUGUUCCCACUAUGCAGUCACAGCUAUAACCAGCAGCUGGAUGCAGUUUUCCUGGGCUCCUGGGCCUAGGUAAAGGAAUGGAGUCCGGCCUGGUGUGUCAGCGUGUGUGAACUUCGGGCCACAGACCGUAAUGGUUUCCGCAUGAGCUGGAGCAUGGCAACCUGCCCUGAGCCCAAUCCUCAGCGAUGCUGAGACAUCUACUACUCAACCCCAACUCUCGACAAGCCUCUUUCCUGCCCAGAAGACAUGCCUCUCUGCCGAGGUGGAGGUAAGUCAUAACCUCUGCAGGACGGUCCCCCUAAAUCCCUGGCAGAAGUUUCAUUUGUACAGCCACUCUCUAAUGGGCUCAGUUACUUCUGUGAAGACCCAUUCACUGUUUCCUGAGUCCUUCCAAAACAUAGUUUCACAAAGAAGCUAGACCAGCUCUUUCCCAGCAUCCACAGUGCCCAACAGGGUAGGAGUGUGUCUAAUCAUGGGAAAUUCGAUCUUAGAGAGCAAUAACUGUAUGCCAGGGUGCAGCAGAGAAUUGGUGAAUGGAUAGAUGGGUAGGUAGAUGAAUGGACCAAAAAGGAUGGGUGGAUGAAUGGAUGGAUGGAUGGAUACAUGGUUGGGUGGAUGGAUACAUGGGUGAGUGGAUGAAUGGAUGGGUGGAUAGAUAGAUG